rnacentral:rRNA from 1 species
AGAGUUUGAUUCUGGCUCAGGAUGAACGCUAGCGGCAGGCUUAACACAUGCAAGUCGAGGGGUAACAUUGUAGCUUGCUACAGAUGACGACCGGCGCACGGGUGCGUAACGCGUAUAGAACCUACCUUUUACAGGGGAAUAGCCCAGAGAAAUUUGGAUUAAUGCCCCAUAGUAUUAUUGAAUGGCAUCAUUUAAUAAUUAAACAUUUAUGGGUAAAAGAUGGCUAUGCGUUCUAUUAGCUAGAUGGUAAGGUAACGGCUUACCAUGGCAACGAUAGAUAGGGGUCCUGAGAGGGAGAUCCCCCACACUGGUACUGAGACACGGACCAGACUCCUACGGGAGGCAGCAGUGAGGAAUAUUGGACAAUGGAGGCAACUCUGAUCCAGCCAUGCCGCGUGCAGGAAGACGGCCCUAUGGGUUGUAAACUGCUUUUAUACAGGAAGAAACCUUUCCACGUGUGGAAAGCUGACGGUACUGUAAGAAUAAGCACCGGCUAACUCCGUGCCAGCAGCCGCGGUAAUACGGAGGGUGCAAGCGUUAUCCGGAAUCAUUGGGUUUAAAGGGUCCGUAGGCGGACUGAUAAGUCAGGGGUGAAAUCCAACAGCUCAACUGUUGAACUGCCCUUGAUACUGUUAGUCUUGAAUUAUAUGGAAGUAGAUAGAAUGUGUAGUGUAGCGGUGAAAUGCUUAGAGAUUACACAGAAUACCGAUUGCGAAGGCAGUCUACUACGUAUAUAUUGACGCUAAUGG